UGGUCGGGACUCAUAAUAGAUAGAGGGAUUGUAUCAUGCAUUAACUACACCUAGAGAUUCAUCUUUUAUUCUGCUGGAUUGUCACUACAUACUGCUAGGUGUCAUUGAUGGAUUGUGAGACUCAUGAGGAUUAUCUUGAUGAUCAAUGAUCCUUGGUGGGUUGAGUUAGAAUUGUUCCAACCUAUUAAAAAGAGUUUCAAUGAUAUUAUGAUAGAGAUCAUAAUAUAUCUCACUACC
rnacentral:lncRNA from 1 species